rnacentral:misc_RNA from 1 species
UUCUUUUGGCAAUGGUCUUCUAGAAGAAAUAAGUGAUCUAAUUCCUCUAGUGAGGAAUCCUGAUCUCCUAUAUAUGUUAUAAGGGCUAAGAAGUGGAAGUAGGGAUUCACCAAUCUUAGCUUCCUCUGGGAAAGUAGAUAUCUCGACCAGAUUAUCUAUUCUGGAAGACAAGGUUCUUCUGAGGGAAAAAGAGAAAGAGAGAGAAGAGGUAAGGUUUAUGAUGUCUGAGGGAGAUGGUUGUUCUACUAUUGUAUUUACAGAGGGCGUAGGUGUAUGACAACUCAUUGUAUGUAGUAUUCUCUUCUUACUCAUUCUUGAAGUGUAUAUUAUUUCUUUCUAAUUCAGGCUCUGAUGCCAUAGGUGGCCGGGAGCCUCUUGUUAUACAUAGUAUGUUCAUACUCAUGCUCAAUGCCGCUUUCCUCUCCAUAAGUACUCUCAGGCUGGGAGCCCUUUUGUACUUACAUACUACGUAUAGCAAGAGGACCGUCACAAUAUCAAAAUAGAUGCAUUCCUGAUACACAGGAUUCUCAUGUGAGUCAAGUGUAGAGCAUACGUGCAACUGAUUAUAGAGAAAUAGUAUACCUUCUUAGAUUUUCAGAAGAGUUUAGAAAGCCAUAGUGAGAGAAAGAUUUUAUUUUUCGUAAGGUUGUUUUUUCAAACUGAGAGAGCCUCUCUUAUAUAGAAAAGAAGCAGUACAUAACGACAAAUAUCAUAAUUUUAAAAGCUAAAGUAAACAGAAUCCAGUACAAACUUCAAGUAAAGCACACAGACACUCUUAAAGUUACUAAGUGAUAGACAAAGUAAGAGACCACAUGUGAUAGUGGGUUCAAAGGCAUCUUUUUAUGGAGAUGUGGACAAAUUGAAGUUCCUAUAGUCUGCAUCAUCAAAGUCAAUCGCUCCAUAAAAAUGUUGGAACCAUGGGCCGCGUUCUUCAGGUGAUGAUGGAGCUGCACUAUCAAGCGCUUCACGUGCUUCUAGAUCUAUGGGGUCCUAAGAGUCUUGUCAGGCUGGAUUAUUCCAAUCAAUAGGGCUAUCUGGAGUGGAAUGAACUGGUCCUAAAGUAGUGCAUGUGACAUGUAAAUCCAAGAAGGGUUGAUAAUUGUUGAUUUCACACAAGUGUCUGUCGAGUUGUCUUCUGAGUGGUCCCAUGUGAUUUUUAUCUGUGAUAGUCCCAUUGUAGGUUCUUCAUUCAUAAUGAGAAUUUUGUGAUCAAAGGAGUCCAUCGAGCCUUCUGAAAAAGAGCCUAUGUAGAAUGAAAAUAGACCUAACAUUGUGUUAUUGGGUUAUGAGCCUGUUUUCUAUUCCAUUAAUCUUCUUAGGUCAUAACUUCACACUGGGAUGGGUUUGAACCAUUCCAGGAACCUCCAGAGUAGUGAUCUAGUGCCAAUAUUUUGGACAAACUGGUAAAGAGGCAUUAAUAGGAACUCAAUGGCUGUUGAAUACAGUACAGUCAUGCACCAUAAGAAUCAUAACUCUUCUAAGAGGAGAUCUGUUUCAGGUGUAGAAUGAAACAACUAAGGAAUUGACAGUUAGGGUAAAACAGUGAGACAGGUGGGAGAAUCUGUCUAAGAGUAUUCAUGGCAUUCUAGAAGUGAAAUAGAUGGUUUCUUGCAUAGCUUUGGAUUUGUGAGAGGGACAUAGCUGGUGAGCAUCCUGGAGGAAAACUGUCUGGUGAAGGAAUUAAGAAACUGGGAGUGUUUGAGGAACUUGCCAUGCAGAUCAGUGGGAGAGAAAAUGUGGAGCCGAUGAGGCAGACUGGAGUUGGUCUUGAUUAGAGAUCUGGAAUGAGAUUGUGCUUUUUCUUAAUAUGUUGGACCUUAAAUUUAUAUUUAGAGAACUAGUCUUUUGAGCGCAAAAGCUGUGGUUCUGAGAAGGUCUUGUUUUUAAAUUCCAUUAUGCGAGGGAAAGAUGAGCUGUCCAUUAGAACUGUGAAGCGAUGGCCAAUCACAUGAAGUUCAAACUUCUUUAUGCCAUUUUUGACAGCUAGAAUCUCUUUAUAGACCGAAUGAUAAUAUUUUUCAGCAACUUUAAAUUCUCCACUAGCGUGACCACAUAUGUUCUUUUCUCCAUUGGUUUCUUCAAUGAGAAUAGCACUCCAGUGUGUGUCAUUUGCAUUCUAUUCCCUAUAUUGGAAAUCUUUAGUGGUGGUGAAUGUUAAGCUUUUUUCUUUAAAACUUGAACUAUAGCGGUUUGAGCUGGUCCCCAAGAUGGAGCUGUCUUUUUCAGCAUUUUUGACAACUGGCUAAUGUGAAUAGCAACAUGUGAAAUAAAUUUGCUGAUGUAGUUGAUCAUUUCAAAGAACUGUUGGAGUUGCUUACUGUUCAGGUUCUUAUCCGGGAACUUUAGUAAUUUUGCUGCGAUAUGAGGGCUUGGUUGAUAUCUUACUUGUUGGAAUUGCAUGCCAAGGAAGUCUAUAUCGGUACGGGUCAAAUAACUUUUCUUUCUGACAGCAUGAUUCCGUGAGCCUGGACUAUCGAUUGGAGAAUAGUAGGAUAUCAUCUAUGUAAAUCAGGGUGCUGUGUAAGAUGGGCUCAAAGAUUCUGGUCAUGGCCUUUUGAAAUAGCGAGGGGGGGCUGUCUUUAGUUCGAAUGGCAUUACAGUCCACUGAUACUGGGCCGUUGGAAUGCAAAAUGCUGUCUUGGGCCUAUCUGCAGGGUGGAUGCCUAACUACUAGAAGCCUGAGUUAUACCUGAUUUGUUUGCCUAAAUCAUAUAGCGUGGGGAUGAAGCACUGAGUUAUAUUUAACCUGUUUCCAUUUCAAACUUUGGUUUAAGUUCUGGUGAGGGGUGAUGGUAGGAGUGCACAAAUGUUACUAAUAUGUAUAGCCCAUAAAGUCGUACUUAUUGCAGUUAUGAAAUAGGAAAGGACCAAUUGAGAGGUUGGGACCUAGUGGCUGCUUUCUGAGGAGUAGAGUCUAUCUUUGUACUUCCCUCUCAUAGAUGUAAAAUUUGUCAUACAUUGUGCAUGUUGUCUACACUUGCAAAAUUAGUAAUGCCACAAAGAUUUUCUUGAAUUCUUAGCAGUUAAACUCCCAGUCAAAACUCGUUAAUACAAAUCUCGUGAAUUGCAUUUCUUGAAUAUUUCUACUUUUAUCUUAGUAGGAUUAUUUUAGAGAAGCCUUCGGGCUUCUGUAAUUCACACAUAGAUAGCUCCUCCAAAUAAUUCUCUCGCAGGUUUCUGUUAUUACUAGUUGCACUGCACCAAUAUGGUCUGGGAUGGCUAUGCUCUGUCUUCUUGUUAUAAUUGUUGUUUAUGAUCAAGGGGCCUAUGACCCUGAUUUUUUGUAGAGAUUUUAAUAGGACAAUUGCCAUCAUAGUUCAUGCAUUUUCUCUGAACAUUUUUCUUGAAGUUGCCUUGUUUUAGAGUCAACAGGUUUUAAAAUCCUUUGGGUUUAUGAAAUCUGACUACCCUGUUAAUGUGGAGAUUAUGGGUUACAGUUAGGGGCUGUACCCUUGCCAAAUUUUCCUCACAUGGACAUGGUAUGAAAGCAAUCUUCUUGUUUUGAAGGCACUUGGUGCAUAACUGCAUAUCAGAACUGUCAUGUCUUUCUCGUUGUUCAUUUAAUUGCAACAGAGUAAUUUGGGUUUUUGCAUUUCCACAAGUGGAAUUAAAGAGUAUCCUGGAUUUAAUUCUUAUCAAGUAUGUUUCAUAAACUCAUACAGGGAGAGCUGGGGGAGCUUGAGA